rnacentral:rRNA from 1 species
GACGAACCGAGCGAACGUUGUUCGGAAUCACUGGGCGUAAAGGGUGCGUAGGCGGCCUGCUAAGUCGAACGUGAAAUCCCCGGGCUCAACCCGGGAACUGCGUCCGAUACUGGCAGGCUUGAAUCCGGGAGAGGGAUGCGGAAUUCCAGGUGUAGCGGUGAAAUGCGUAGAUAUCUGGAGGAGCACCGGUGGCGAAGGCGGCAUCCUGGACCGGCAUUGACGCUGAGGCGCGAAAGCCAGGGGAGCAAACGGG